rnacentral:lncRNA from 1 species
CCAGGCUUUUAUUCACUGUACUAUGUGUCUGUUCUGGGGCAAGAAUGGGAAACAGAUUCUCAGGGAGGAGGGGUAAAUCCUGAGGGGUGGGGAGGGUACUCUGCCCUCUUAGGAGAAGCAAACAAACCUCCUAGGAAAGCUUGUGCAGCCUUUUAUGAAAAGAGUAAACAACUUUUACUCCCCACCAUAGGGAUAAAAACAAACAGGCAGAUCCAUUCUCCCUGUUUCUGUCUCUAGUAGGGAAUGGUGACAGCGAAUUUGAUUUCUUGUUUGAACAAACAAGCAUCUGGGCAAUUGAGAGCCAGUGCUGACUUCUCAGUUCUCUGAACAAGUCAGGAUCACCACGGGGUGAGGGGUGGGGUUGCUUCCUUAGUGUGCUCUGUGAGGCUUCUAUCCCAUUUCUUCUCCCGAGGCCUCCUCUUUCUCGUUAGCUGCUCUGAUCUCAUGUGAUGUUUAGGUUUUCUAACCCAUGUUCCUGUCUUCAGGUUUUGCCAUGGUAUUCAUAGUCCAGACUAUGAUGGUGGAUGGGCACCUGCAUCAUGUGAGCCUACACCAUGCACUUGGCCCUGGGGCUGCCAGAGAACCAGGUAACAAUAUCCCUGCCACGAAGACGCUGGUCUUCCUGGACGCCGGGAUCACAGCACAGGAUUCUGGCUGGUGUGAUUUUGCAAGAGACUUCAUAGGAAAUACAGCACAAGACAGCGAGGGUGACUUUGGAAGGAUUUUGCAAAGUUUACUGAAAUUUUUGUCAGUUGAAACUUGAGCACAGAACUGUUUUUUCUCCUGACAGUGUGCAAAGGAAGCUCAUCACUCGGAACUGCUCUCUGGCUCCAUGAUCUUCUCUGCUUCUGGGACUCUGGAACCGUUUUGGGGGCCAAUAUUCCUGAUAUUCAUACUUUUAAAGACUUCUCUAUAUCAUUCAAUAAAACCUUUCAGUAAGUCCUUUCCAUAGGAUCCCGGAGGGUCUGUUUCCAGGAUGUUCUACAUGUUCUUUAAUUUGGUACUUGUCCUUCACAACUGAACUUCCCAAGGACCAUCAUCAAUCUAUCACGUCUCACCACUCAGCAUCCGCUCCCAUCAAUACUCCUCGCGGAUUUACCUGUGAAUUAAUUGUCAUACUCCUGCCAUCAGAGUGUUCACUGUGCAUUUCCCACUCGAUUUCAUAAACCAUCAGGCCACAUUGCAAUGAGGCCUUAAAAUAAUUGCACAAAGUUGGCCACAAAAGAUGGCGACACUGCAGAGGAC